GGAGGGAGGUGCAGAGGGAGAGAAUCAAGCAGACUACUGAGCAUGCAGCCCCACUCUGGGCUCAAUCCCACAAGGGCUCAAUCUCACUGCCCCGAGAUCAUGACCUGAGCCAAAAACCAAGAGUCCUAUGCUUAACCAACUGAGCCAUCCAGGCACCUCAGCAAUUUAGUAUUAUUUACUUCCAUGUUAUUGAAGCUGCUCUGAUAUUUUAAAAGCUAUUCAACUACUUGACAGAGGAGGAGAAGAGAUCUCUUAACUGCUGUACUCUAGCACAAACAGAAUCUUUAAUGUGCCUUUGAAACAUGAUCCUCAGGAGCCUAGUUUCUGGGAAAAUCACACUUGAAUAUUAAAACUAAGAAAUCAAUUAUAUGAUCUUGUAAGAAAAUCACUGUAUUUGCUAUAAAGUGACUCAGUUUAUUUGAGCCUGCUGAGAAUUUUUUAACUUCUGUCACAUGUUUCUAUAAAUAUUCCCAAGUUAAUAAAGUUCUCUAUGGUAAACAAAUUACUGUGAUCAAGCAAUACUCACCACAGUAAGUUCGUAAAGAAACUUCCUGGUAUUUUUAUCUGCAUGGCAAUCUUCCUUUAACUUCUUUACAAUAUAAGAAACUUUUUCUGAUUCUUUGUCUGCUUGUAUUUGAUCAAAAUCUUCUAGUGCCUGAUGUGAGUAACCCAAGACAUCAGCUAAAACUUUCCAAUCAUAAACUUUUUCUGAAACCAAAGUCAAUACAACUGAGUAGAUGUAAGUCAGUUUUUUGAAAGGUAGGGUAAUUUGCUCAAGAAGAUUUCUGGUUGUGAAGACAUUAUCUGACAUAGAUAUGACUUGUUCUUUUGCAAUCACCUUGACAUUUUUGCAAUGUAUAAGUCCAACCUUACCUCUGAGGACUCCUACAUACCAUUCUUUCACUCUGGACUGCCCAAUGGCUUUUACCUUACCCUCUCCAAGAAGAGCUACUGUGUCCCCUUUGAAAUAUUCAAGUAAGUAGUCACUCUUUUUUUGCCUUAGCACUGUCUUCAGGGUUACUCCAUAGUUGUUAAAGUUCAUAUUUUUGUCUUGAAAUGUGGGAUAUUUAACACACACUUUUGGUAAUAAUGGAGCAGACUUGAUUUUCUUCUCUUCCUGCAAAUCACCUGGCAGAUUUGAGAAUCUUUUCAGGUUGGGAGCUGGAUCAGGUGUAGUGACAAAGAACUGUGUCACUGCUUUACCAUCAGGAGGCUCCAUCUGAACACGGAAAACACACAAGUGCAUUUCUCUGGAGUCAAUUAAGGAAAAUAAAAAUUGUUGAUUAACUACUUCACCUGCUAGCAACUGCUUUUGUUUAAUUUCUUUCCUUUCUCCUGCCUUUACUUCAAAAUCAGGAUCACAUGAAAAAACAGAAAUAUUUAAAUCUUGUGGCUUGUCAAGUAAGAACGAAUGCUUCCCCCAGAGGUGAAACACAACUGGAGAUGUAUUUUUUCCACCUUUCUUUAUAUCUGAGAUUGUAAGCUUUCCUGGCAUAUAACUGUGUCCACAAACUAUGAAAAUAGCUGUGAAACUGGGAUGAAUAUAUCUGGGCCCAUAAAUCCCUACUGACAUGGUUUUGUGGAUACAAUCCCAAACGGUGGCAGCUGGUGACCGAGUAGCUUUAAUUUGUGCAGCAACCACGAGAUACAUCACCUGGCUCAAGUCUAUUAGCUUGACUUGGAUGAUGUCCUUAUAAAUAUAGCAGUUGUUCAACACUUUGAAAGGGCCUUCUUUACUCGGGCUGUGUAAACACACCAUUUCUGUCAUGACUUGGCUGAAAGGAUCCUUUCUCACUUCAGCCCCUAUUUUCAUCUCCAGCAAAAUGGCUUCCAUUGUGUUAAGGUUGCCUAACAUGAUUUCCAACAGUGGGCUUACAGUGCAUGAAAGAUCAUGGUUAAGCAUUUGUGGAGGUUCAAGGAAUGCCCUUAGAGACACCUCUUGGAAGUCUCCCACGGCUACAUGGCCUUGGGGCACAUGAACAGUGAUAUCUGAUUCAGGUAAUUGUACUGACCCUCCUUGGUGGCUUAAUUUACAAACUAUCACAGUCUCUGCAACUUGUGUUUGGGCCCAUCCAGGACUCUGAUUAAUUAUAUUCAAAUCCAAGCAGGAACGGGCCAGCUGGCGUUGACUUAACCAAGCCAUUUUAUAAGCCUCCCUAUCAUCCUGAAGCCAUUCUAAGUCUUGUUCCAGUAUCUGGCCAGAGUUAUGUAUAUUCUGAUGGCCAUGUGCUGUGCCAUCUAAAAUGUCCAAAAGUUCUGAAACACUUUUAGAUCUUCCAGAUGUCUGUGCAGAAGACUGCCUAAGCAACUGAUGCACAUCUAGUUCAUCACCAGAAGAAUCAAAAGAAUUUCCAGUUUCUAUUUCUCUAAAAAAAAUAAAAGGAUCUUCCUUCAAGAUGGAAAUAUUAUCUCUCUUCUGGUUAUUUCUUAGCUGAGUUAUGUCAUCCAAAAAUGGGUUAGAAGCAGACAGUUCAUUCCAAAAUGGAUUUGUAGCCUUGGAAACAUUAUUGCCUUGACGUGUGAGACGAUCUGACCAAUUGAGAAGAAAUCCUGGGUCUGGACGUUCUUGUUAUUUAGACAAAAAUAAAGCAAAACAAAGAUACUGGUAUUGAUUCUGAGAACUUUGUGAAACUGGUACUGCUUUCAUGAAAACAAAAGCCAAACUGGCCAGCCAAAAUUGAAGAAGAAAUUCAACAAGAGUAAGAGUGGCUACUGACAAAGAUACUUAAGGAAUAUGAGAAAAGAGAAAGGAGGAAAGAUAUUAUUCUAAUGGGAACAGCAAAUUAAACACAAAGGAAAUCAUCCAGAAUGGAGUGAAUAGAAUUUUCCAUCAUUGUCCUUUUUAUUUCAUUAAAUCAGCCUGAAAAAUG